rnacentral:rRNA from 1 species
UACGAGUGGCCCAAGCGUUAUCCGGAAUUAUUGGGCGUAAAGGAUGUGUAGGUGGUCGUAUUAGUCCGGUGUCUAACCUCUGAGCUUAACUUGGAGACAGCAUUGGAAACGGUACGGCUAGAGUAUGUUAGGGGUAAGCGGAACUCAUAGUGUAGGGGUGAAAUCCGUUGAUAUUAUGGGGAACACCAAAAGCGAAGGCAGCUUACUGGAACAUUACUGACACUGAGACAUGAAAGCGUGGGGAGCGAACAGG